rnacentral:rRNA from 1 species
GUGUCAGCCGCCGCGGUAAGACAGAGGAGCCAAGCGUUGUCCGGACUGACUGGGCGUAAAGGGCCCGCAGGCGGCUGGGCGCGUGGGGUGUGAAAGCUGGCGGCUUAACCGUCAGAGGCCACCGCAAACGGCCCGGCUGGAGCCGCGCAGAGGCGGGUGGAAUUGCCGGUGUAGUGGUGAAAUGCGUAGAGAUCGGCAGGAACACCCAGGGGGAAACCAGCCCGCUGGGCGCGAGCUGACGCUGAGGGGCGACAGCGUGGGGAGCGAACCGGAUUAGAAACCCUCGUAGUCC